CACAACUUCAGCACAGAAGGAAGCAAAGGGGGAAAGGGUGUCAUUCUGCAUACCCCUGUGGUCUCCUGUUUUUCAGAAAGAACACCGACUGAGCUGAAAGAGGCCACCCCAGAGGCUCAGGUAGCCAGGCUUAUCAGAAUGCACUUAUUAUUUGAGUUAGGAAUGCACAGCCUCUGCUUAAGCCCAGAGCAGCAACUGUAUCUCCCAGCCAUACCAUGGAGCUCAGCCCAGGUCCAAUAAGAGGACAAGGAAACAAUGGCAAAUUGGGGUUUCUCUUCUUGGGUUACAAAAUCUACACAGGUCAAUGUACAUCUCCUGGCGGCAGCAGCGGGCACCCUCUGUCACCGGUGCCUUAGGAUCACAGUUUCCCUGAGCUCUGCGGGGGGGCAAAGAGAGGC